rfam:Lactococcus piscium MKFS47 genome assembly, plasmid: III
GAUAUUAUGAUAUAAUAUCACUUGUAGAAAAGUUAAGACGGUAGCCCUAAAACCAAUAAAAUUUGGAGGUGGUGCUAUGAAGAUUAUUUUUAGUUGACCUCUUAGAGAGGGAUUAUGUCAGUUUUUCAAGCGCUAAGCCUGAUGAUUGCUUUUGCAAUGUUAGUCUUAAAACUUAACGACAAAAA